rnacentral:tRNA from 1 species
GCACCCGUGGUGGAACUGGCAGACACGUAAGAUUCAGGUUCUUAUGUCGAGAGACGUGGGGGUUCAAAUCCCUCCGGGUGCACCA